UACGGAGGGUGCAAGCGUUGUCCGGAUUUAUUGGGCUUAAAGGGUGCGUAGGCGGCUUCAUAAGUCCGUGGUGAAAGCCAACAGCUCAACUGUUGAACUGCCAUGGAUACUGUGAGGCUUGAGUACAGACGAGGUAGGCGGAAUGGAUCGUGUAGCGGUGAAAUGCAUAGAUACGAUCCAGAACACCGAUUGCGUAGGCAGCUUACUAGGCUGUAACUGACGCUGAGGCACGAAAGCGUGGGGAGCGAACAGG
rnacentral:rRNA from 1 species